UCCUGAUCAGUGAUCACCUUUUUUUUUUUGUAUUCACAAAUUCACAAUUAUUCUAUUUGAAACUUUUCUAGUAAAAUUUUCGUCACAACUUUUUCCCUCUAAAACAAUAUUAUUUAUAUUUGUAUACAUUAUCUGGUCAAAAAUUGAAAGGGUCAAAUCUUUCGCCUCGAUUUUGCUGUGCUGCAUACGGUAUUCAGAACCGUCUAGUCGCCGUGGUCGUAUAUUGCUGAUUUUUGUUAUCUCGUUAUUACUGAGAUUCCACAUAUCAAAUGAAUGUUAAUUAUUUGAUAUGCCAUCGGAAUUUGUUACGAUACAAAAAGUAGAACUGUCUACAUUAAAGUAUUCUCAAGUCAAUCAACGGCUCUUGUCUACUACUAAGUCGAUGGAAGACAUUCUUUAUCAUCUACGACACAAUAUCGUCMAUUUUAAAAGUUCCUUGACAUUAUUACUUUGCCAAACCUUAGCAAAUAGAACAAAAAGUCAGGUUGCUAAUAUAUUUUUCAAAACAGAUGGAAACGGAAAAUGGUAUCGAAAAUAUACCAUUGCCAAGCGAUUCACCAUUAAUCAGACACCCAAGAGGCUUAGAGAACACUACACGAGUUGAAAAUCACGAUUCAUUCUUGUCCCACUGUCUUCCAAAGAAUAUUAUUUUAACUGAUUUAAUUCAUACUUUUAGACAACGAGCAAAAAGUCCUAUUUCAAAAAGACCUGUUGUUUUAAACUCUUCUAAAUCAUUCAUUGAUGUCAAUGUGACUAGAACUGGUCUACGCAAUGUAGAUCUAUAUGAAAUAAUUUCACAAAUCGGUGAAGGUUCAUAUGGCCAAGUUUACAAAGCCAAAGAAAAAAAAACCAAUAAUUUUGUGGCAUUAAAAAAAGUGAGAUUAGAACAUGAAUCCGAAGGCUUUCCAAUUACGGCAAUAAGAGAAAUCAAAAUUUUAAGACAGCUGAAUCAUCCAAAUGUAGUUAGUUUAAAAGAAGUUGUUACUGAUAAGGAAGAUUCGUACGAAUUCAAAAAAGGUGGUGGCUCAUUUUAUCUUGUGUUCGAGUACAUGGAUCAUGAUCUUACUGGCCUAAUAGAAUCUGGCAUGGUAGAUUUUUCAGUGAGAGAUAAUGCCAUCAUUAUGCGUCAAUUGCUAGAGGGCUUAAAUUAUUGUCACAAGCAAAAUUUCAUUCACAGAGAUAUUAAAUGUAGUAAUAUACUGCUCAAUAAUAAAGGUGAAUUGAAACUAGCCGAUUUAGGUCUUGCAAGGUUAUUUGAUAAUGAGCAAGUUCGUUUAUACACAAACAAAGUAGUUACUUUGCGAUAUAGACCACCUGAACUUUUGUUAGGAGAAGAGAGAUAUGGCCCAUCAGUUGAUAUUUGGUCUUGUGGAUGUAUCUUAGGAGAACUUUUCAUCAAAAAAAAUAUGUUUCAUGGCAAAGAUGAGUUUGAUCAACUAGAGUUAAUAUCUCAGCUUUGCGGUAGUCCUUGUCCAGCUAACUGGCCAGAAGUCAUAAAACUGCCAUACUGGAAGUUUAUAAGUCAAAAAAAACUGCACAGUCGAAAACUUAGUGAUCAUUAUGACUUCAUCGGAAAUGAUGCUUUUGAACUGUUGGACAAAAUGUUAACUCUGGAUCCCAGUAAACGCAUCACUGCCGAGAAUGCAUUAACAUGUACUUGGUUGGCGAACAUAGACACCAAUACCUGCAUUUCAUUACCUACUUGGCAAGAUUGUCAUGAACUUUGGAGUAGAAAGCGUAAAGGUCGAUCAACUACUUCCAGGAAUAACUCUUCUCUCCGUUCCAUGAAGAAAGAUCGCAAUCAAUCAGAGAACAAAACUCGAACUUAAAUUGUUAACACAUAUUGUAAUUUGACGAAUUUUAAUUAUUUUCAUUCAAGGAUAGGAAUUGUAUCAAAACCAAAUAUAUAUAUACUAUAAUAUUGUAUGCAUAUACAUGGUAUUGUGUACCAAGUAAAACAUCUCUAUACAAUGAUUUCUUACCUAUUAAGCAUUUCUACAAUUCUUUUGAGUGUUAUCAUGAAGGCUCCACAAAUUAUUCGGAUUUACAAUCAAAAGCAAACGGGCGGUA